rnacentral:rRNA from 1 species
UACGUAGGGGGCAAGCGUUGUCCGGAUUUAUUGGGCGUAAAGCGCGUGUAGGCGGCCACGCAGGUCCGCUGUGAAAACUCGAGGCUCAACCUCGAGCUGUCGGUGGAAACCGCGUGGCUAGAGUCCGGAAGAGGGGACUGGAAUUCCCGGUGUAGCGGUGGAAUGCGCAGAUAUCAGGAGGAACACCGGUGGCGAAGGCGGGUCUCUGGACAGUUCCUGACGCUGAGGCACGAAGGUCAGGGGAGCAAACGGG